rnacentral:rRNA from 1 species
UACGUAGGGGGCUAGCGUUGUCCGGAAUCAUUGGGCGUAAAGCGCGUGUAGGCGGUCCGGUAAGUCCGCUGUGAAAGUCGAGGGCUCAACCCUCGAAUGCCGGUGGAUACUGCCGGGCUUGAGUACAGACGAGGUAGGCGGAAUUGAUGGUGUAGCGGUGAAAUGCAUAGAUACCAUCAAGAACACCGAUUGCGAAGGCAGCUUACUAGGCUGUAACUGACGCUGAGGCACGAAAGCGUGGGGAGCGAACAGG